rnacentral:rRNA from 1 species
AUGGCCAUCUUUGACGAGUUCUACGUUGGGUCCAUUGACCUUGGGUGCCUCAACUUUGGGAUUAUUUCGCUUAUCCUCAAGGUCCCUGGGGCGUCCGACAUCCGCCAGUUUCCGAUCACGGUGAUAAAUGUGAUCUUCCGGAUUCUGGCAAAAGGGUACGCCAAUAGGGUGACCCUGCUUGUUGACCACAUUACCCACCCCAACCAAUCUGCCUUCAUCCAAGGCCGAUAUAUUCUGGAUGGGGUGCUAGUCCAUCAUGAAUUCCUCCAUGAGGUCCGCUCCAAACACCUCAAGACGGUCUUCCUGAAGAUCGAUUUCCAUAAGGCCUAUGACACUGUUAGCUGGCCCUUCCUUUGGGAAGUUCUGCUUCGGAAAGGCUUCGAUGACCGUUGGAUCACCAGAGUGAUGUAG